ACAACUCACCUAUCCUUGGAAGAUAGGAAUCAUUGUAGCGGUCAAAAAUAGAAUGUGUUGGAUUCCCUCCCUUCUCCAUAUCUUGAGGAAGCUUCCGGAAGAAAUCUACUGUCAGGUAACUACACUCCAUUUCAACCAGCUGAAGAGUUGCUCUUUUGCUCUCAUCCUUUCUAAUGAUUCAACAGCUGCAUUGCUGACCUCUACUCGUAUGUGACAGGAAUGUGCCGUUAACAGAUUUGUAGGACAAAUUGAUAGGGUGGAACAACCCGAUAGGGUCAGACAUAGACACAAAGGAUGGGGAAUGCCCCAAUCUGAGUCUAGUUGGGUACACUAUAUGAAUCCUCAUUAUCCAG
rnacentral:lncRNA from 1 species